rnacentral:rRNA from 1 species
UACGGGGGGGGCUAGCGUUGUUCGGAAUUACUGGGCGUAAAGGGCGCGUAGGCGGUCUGCUAAGUUGGAUGUGAAAACUCUGGGCUUAACCCAGAGCCUGCAUUCAAUACUGACAGGCUAGAGUUCUGGAGGGGAUAGCGGAAUUCCUGGUGUAGCAGUGAAAUGCGUAGAGAUCAUGAGGAAGACCAGUGGCGAAGGCGGGUCUCUGGACAGUUCCUGACACUGAGGCACGAAGGCCAGGGGAGCAAACGGG